rnacentral:tRNA from 1 species
AGAGGAUUUGAACCUCUGACCUCAAGGCUCAUAACCUUGAGGUCAGAGGUUCAAAUCCUCUCCCCGCUACCA